AACGAAGAGAUCUGUGACAAGUUGAGUAAUGUAUAUGCAGGGGUCACAACCAUUGCCUGGGGAAAGUCAACGAGAAGUGGAGACAUGCAUGAUCCAAGUGAUGAUGCAUGAAUGUUUACUAACGCUGAAAUUUGCUAUAGCAGCAGUAGAUUGACAGAGAAAACCAAGCAAUGCUGGAGAUUCAGUUCCAGCCUGAUGGACUGAUAUCAGGAUGAAGCUGGUUUUCCUCUAGGUUUUAGCAAUGGUGUCAACCUCCAUUGAGCCGUUGCCGACCUCCACCGAGCAGUUGCUGCUUCUCCUAGGGCCCCUGUCUCGGUCCUCUCCAACAAGGGUAUAUAUCAAGAAGGUUGUUGGUGAAAGGGGCGAGUUCUGUAGACGAGUGCACCAUGGGAUGAAGGAGGGUUCCAGAUGCCAAUAAGGCUGCUGCUGUGUUCUCGCCAGUGCAGUUGAUUGGCUACGUUGGUGAUGUUGAGUGCACACUGCAAUUCAUCUCUCUCUCGCCUAGACAGUG